AGCACAACCGAACCCAACACCGGGGCCCAACGGCAGGGGCUUGGGCAGGAGCAAGGUCCGAGGGCUGCCAGGUCCACGCUGCUUUUAUGAGCUGUAACACUCACCGCGAAGAUCUGCAGCUUCACUCCUGAGCCCAGCGAGACCACGAGCCCACCGGGAGGAACAAACAACUCCAGACGCGCUGCCUUAAGAGCUGUAACACUUGCCGUGAAGGUCUGCAGCUUCACUCCUGAGCCAGCGAGACCACGAACCCACCAGAAGGAAGAAACUCCGAACACAUCUCAACAUCAGAACGGACAGACUCCAGACGCACCACCUUAAGAGCUGUAACACUCACCGCGAGGUUCCGCGGCUUCAUUCUUGAAGUUCGUGAGCCACACAUCUCCCCACACCAAGCUCCUCCAUACAAGACCUCGGACUGCAUCACGUAAAUGCUUUUUCAGGGGCAAAAUCUAGAGAAUCUGAAACGAGCUAUCAGCUUCCCAGUUUGCACAAUUCAUCAAGAAAUUAUGCGGGGUCACUGGCACAAAUGAUGAGGCAUCUCCUGGAAGCUUAACUUCUUAUCCAUCCCAUCUCUUGGACAGAUGAUGCCAGUUAAUUACUUUGAAUCCAAAAGAGACCUGCCAGCUACAGUCAGCAUCGGUCAACCAUCUGUGAAACUGUGAGCUGACAACUUGUCCCCUCCCGGCGAAGGCCACAACAUCCCAACACCAUUAGUCACCAAGGAAGUCUGGGAGAAGUUUCUACCAACUGUAGCGAAAAAGGUGCAAGGGAGGAAACAUUUUGUUACUGCUGGCCCACUCUUCCCUCCGAAACAGCGCGGCAGCAUCUGGCAGAAAGAAAGUACAAGGGACUUCUAAGUGGGCAAUGCUGCCCCGUGCCCUCCAGACUUCUCAUCCCAGCAGGGCAGCAGCACAUGGCGCCCUGGGACAGGAGGCCUGCCGGGGCGUGGGGGCGGAGGCUGAGCUCCUGGGGGCACCACUUUAUGAGGAACCAUUUAUGGCCAAAACUCUACAGGGGCUUCAGGGACCUGAAUGAAUGCGUCUCUGUAGAGUGAGAGUCCUGGGCAGGAGGAGAAGUUUCCAUAGCUCAGGACCACAUGCUGGAAAUUUGGUCUCUGCAGCUUAAAAUCUGAGAGAAGAUGGUGUCUGCAGCAUUCAAAGGGGGACCAGAGGGACCCUCCACCCCCAGCUCCCCAGCUAUGACAAACAUGAGCUCUGGGUAGAUUCCUAUCCAUUCAAAGAACUGGAAAAGCCAAGCUGGGGCCCAUGAGUCAAGUCUGGAUGUGCGGCUCAGGGCAAGAGGACAGAUGGAUGCCACAGGCCGUCUGUCUAAAUAUUUGCAAGUUAUAAAUUAAACUAACAGGGUGUUAAAUAAAGUAUAUUCUAGCCUCAGCCCCUGACAAAUAUUCCUUUAAAAGGAUAAAAUUUUUUAGAUGUGUAUGAAGCUAUGAUUUGUAGAUAACAGAAAGUUAGCAAAAUGUCAAAGAUCAUACAAUUUCUUUGCUUUUUUUUUUUUGAGAUGGAAUAUCACUCUGUUGCCCCAGUUGGAGUGCAGUGAUGUGAUCUCAGUUCACUGCAGCCUCUGCCUCCCAGGUUCAAGCAAUUCCUCAUAUUGAAGCGAGUAAUAAAAUAAAGAAAUGUGUAAUUUAUAAAUUA
ensembl:lncRNA novel transcript